AUUCUCUGUGGACAUAAGUCUACAGAGGAAAGGCUUCGGUCGCUCUGAGAGAGGCUUGUGUCCUAUCAGUUUGUUGGUGAGGUAACGGCUCACCAAGACUUCGACGGGUAGGGGGUGUGAGAGCAUGACCCCCCACAUGGGAACUGAGACACGGUUCCAACUCCUACGGGAGGCAGCAGUCUAGAAAUUUGCGCAAUGGGCGAAAGCCUGACGCAGCGACGCCGCGUGAGGGAUGAAUUCCUUCGGGAUGUAAACCUCUGUUGAGGGGGACGAUAAUGACGGUACCCCUCGAGGAAGCCUCGGCUAACUCCGUGCCAGCAGCCGCGGUAAAACGGAGGAGGCAAGCGUUGUCCGGAAUUACUGGGCGUAAAGGGUGUGUAGGUGUCCUGGUGGGUCAAGUGUGAAAUCCAACAGCUCAACUGUUGAACUGCAUUUGAAACUAUCGGGAUUGAGGACACGAGGGGAGAGUGGAACUCGCGGUGUAGCGGUAGAAUGCGUUGAUAUCGCGAGGAAUGCCGAUGGCGAAGGCGGCUCUCUAGUAUGUUCCUCGU
rnacentral:rRNA from 1 species